rnacentral:rRNA from 1 species
CAGUCGCCGCGGUAAUACGGAGGGGGCUAGCGUUGUUCGGAAUUACUGGGCGUAAAGCGCACGUAGGCGGCUUGGUAAGUUAGAGGUGAAAGCCUGGAGCUCAACUCCAGAAUUGCCUUUAAGACUGCCGAGCUAGUAGGUGAGAGAGGUAAGUGGAAUUCCGAGUGUAGAGGUGAAAUUCGUAGAUAUUCGGAAGAACACCAGUGGCGAAGGCGGCUUACUGGCUCAUUCUAGACGCUGAGGUGCGAAAGCGUGGGGAGCAAACAGGAUUAGAUACCCCAGUAGUCCCUGUCUCUUAUAC